rnacentral:rRNA from 1 species
UACGGAGGGUGCAAGCGUUAUCCGGAUUUACUGGGUUUAAAGGGUGCGUAGGCGGAUUUGUAAGUCCGAGGUGAAAUCUCCGAGCUUAACUCGGAAACUGCCUUGGAUACUAUAAGUCUUGAAUGACGUUGAGGUUAGCGGAAUAUGUCAUGUAGCGGUGACAUGCUUAGAUAUGACAUAGAACAUCUAUUGCGAGGGCAGCUAACUAAGCGUAUAUUGACGCUUAUUCACGAAAGCGUUGGGAUCAAACAGG